AAUCAAGUACAUAAAAAUAAACCAGAGGGAACAACGUGCAAAGCAGAAUAAGGAAUGACCAACUUUACACUUCUCAGCAGUGUUGGUGGUAUGAAUGGUCCUCCUGUGAAGGUCUCCAGGAGCCAGCAGCACAAUAAACCACAGAGAUUUUUGUAAAGCUCCACAAUGCAAUUUCUUAGUCUUAAAUUAUGCUGUAAAGGAAUUGAAUAAUUCCUUCAAUUAGAUUUGUAUUGCAGACAGUAGGCACUAAAUAAAUGAGGGAGGUGUAGCACUCUGUAACUACAGACAGCUAUUUUUAAAGAUAUCUUCAGUCAGUCUUAAAUUAAUCUUGACCUUUCUGUCAUCUUUUUUUGUCUGGGACAGACAUUCCCCAUGCUCCUUUACAUACAGUUUGAAUAUCCUUUCAGUUUGAAUGAGUAAGCCUGGCAGUCAGUUAGAACUUUGCCUUGAGUGACCUGACCACUUUCUUCAGAAAGAGCUUUUCCUGAGAGUUUGUCUUUAAUUGAUGAUACACUGAGUGUAAUUUUGUCUUGAAAAAUAAUUAUACAAUGGAUGGAAAUAGAUGUUACUGAUAUGAAGUAGUAAUGGACAAUGGUACUGUGUUCCUGUACAGGAAAAUCAGCAAUGAAAAUAUUUCUCCUUGUCCUGCUCUUAGUUAAAAUUGACUGAUGAGAGAUUUGCUGGUGGAAAUCAAGAAGAAACAGCAUACUUAUUUAUACAUAGAGGAGAGAUGCAUUUCCUCAGGUCACUUUCCAAGUCAACGUUUUUAGACAGAAGUAGUGUGGCAAGGUCCCAUGGCAAUUCUUUCUGCUCUACAUCUCACUGCCCAUCUGCUCUUGAUCCUUCACUUCUCCUACUCUUCAUUAUUCUUGGAAGUGUUAGACAAC
ensembl:lncRNA